UUAAUUGUAACAAAAUUUUUUUAUUCGCCAGAUUAUUACAAGCGAAAGCUUAAAACUCAAAGGACUUGACGGUGCUUCAUACAAACUAGAGGAGCCUGUCCUAUAAUCGAUGAUCCCCGAUAUACCUCACCACCCCUUGCCAUUUCAAUCUAUAUACCGCCGUCAAAAGUCUACCCUAUGAAGAAAAAAAAGUGAACGUAAUAAUUAUACAUUAACACGUCAGGUCAAGGUGUAAUAAAUGGGUUGGGCUGAGAUGGGCUACAUUUUCUACACGAAGAAUACCACGGAAAUAGAAAUGAAAAAACUAUUAAAGGAGGAUUUAGCAGUAAAUUAAAUUAGAAAAUUUAUUUGAACACCGCCCUGAAGCGCGUACACACCGCCCGUCACCCCUAUCAAACUAAUUAAAUAUUAUAUAAAAUAAAAUAAAUAUAUAAAGAUUGGGCAAGUCGUAACAUGGUAAGCGUACUGGAAAGUGUGCUUGAAAA
rnacentral:rRNA from 1 species